GCACGGCGCACGGGUGCGUAACACGCUGGGCUAAUCUGCCCUCUGAUGGGGAAUAACCCGCCGAAAGGCGGGCUAAUACCGCAUAACAUUCCUUGGAUUUCGGUCCGGGGACUCAAAGGCGUAAGUCGUCGGAGGAGGAGCCCGCGCACGAUUAGCUAGUUGGUAGGGUAAUGGCCUACCAAGGCUUUGAUCGUUAGCUGGUCUGAGAGGAUGGCCAGCCACACUGGAACUGAGACACGGUCCAGACUCCUACGGGAGGCAGCAGUGGGGAAUCUUGCACAAUGGGCGAAAGCCUGAUGCAGCGACGCCGCGUGGGGGAUGAAGCAUUUCGGUGUGUAAACCCCUUUCGAUCCGGACGAAUACCUCGCAAGAGGGGUGACGGUACGGAUAUAAGAAGCCCCGGCUAACUACGUGCCAGCAGCCGCGGUAAGACGUAGGGGGCCAGCGUUGUUCGGAAUUACUGGGUGUAAAGGGUUCGUAGGCGGUGUGGCAAGUUGGGAGUGAAAUCUCUGGGCUCAACCCAGAGGCUGCUUCCAAAACUGCUGUGCUUGAGUGUGAGAGAGGCGCGUGGAAUUGCAGGUGUAGCGGUGAAAUGCGUAGAUAUCUGCAGGAACACCCGUGGCGAAAGCGGCGCGCUGGAUCACUACUGACGCUGAGGAACGAAAGCUAGGGGAGCAAACAGGAUUAGAUACCCUGGUAGUCCUAGCCCUAAACGAUCAGGACUUGGGGUGCCACCCGUUCGGGUGUCGUCCCGGAGCUAACGCGUUAAGUCCUGCACCUGGGGAGUACGGUCGCAAGACUGAAACUCAAAGGAAUUGACGGGGGGCCCGCACAAGCGGUGGAACAUGUGGUUCAAUU
rnacentral:rRNA from 1 species